rnacentral:lncRNA from 1 species
AACUGAGAUGAGACAAUAAGAAGAAACAUCUUUGAUAAGGAGACUCAGGCUCUGAGACCAAGCAGGGGUGUGCUGGAACCAGCUUCUACCAGCUUCAGGAAACCAUUGUUACAUUUUCUAUGUUGUGAUAUGGAAGGGCAAGAGUACCAGAAGACCGAUCUUGGAUAAAUGGAGUACAUAGAUGAGGCAACCUGUGCUUUCACAAAGACCUAGCUGCUCUGAUCAAGACAAUGAUCCAAAACAAUUCCAAAGGAACCUGGAUGAAAAAUGCUAUCUAUCUCCAGAUAAAGAAGUGCUGAACUCUAAGGGAAAAUUGAAGAAUACUUUUUUCAGUA